rnacentral:rRNA from 1 species
CGGCGAACGGGUGAGUAACACGUGAGUAACCUGCCCUUGGCUUUGGGAUAACCCUCGGAAACGGGGGCUAAUACCGGAUAUUCAUUUGCUGCGGCAUCGUGGUGGGUGGAAAGUUUUUCGGCCUGGGAUGGGCUCGCGGCCUAUCAGCUUGUUGGUGGGGUGAUGGCCUACCAAGGCGACGACGGGUAGCCGGCCUGAGAGGGCGACCGGCCACACUGGGACUGAGACACGGCCCAG